rnacentral:rRNA from 1 species
UUGUCAAAAAUAGUUUUUAAAGAUUUGUUGAAGAAACAUAAAUAAAACAAGUAGUGAAAACGAAAAUUAAUUUUUACUAUAGAGCAUAAGUACUGUGAAGGAAAUAUUGAAAUAUUUGAAAAAUUUACAUGUAAGUAGUACUAAUAAGUUUAGGUACCUUUUGUAUUAGUGGUUAUUAAAAUUAUAAAGUAAUUUUUUUUUCUCGAAAAUAAAAGAUCUAAGUUAAUUUUAAAGUUUUUGUUUCAGAAAGAUUUUAAAAAUUAGUUUAGGUGUUAGAUUCUAAUCGCUUUUAUUUAUAUCUGGUUACUUCAGAAAAAAAUUUAGUUUUAUGCGACAAGAGAUAACUUUAUUAAUAAGAAAUUUUAAAGUCGUUUUUAAAUUCUAGGGGAUGAGCUCUAGAAUUUAUAUAUAAGGACAGUUUUAUUUUAAUUUUUUAUAGGCUUAGAAUUAGCCAUUGGAUAGUGUUAUAAAAUAAAAUUUUAAGAAUGAGAUUUUGUCUCCUUUUCUUUCUAUGAAGUUAAUUUAAAAAUUAAAAAAGAUAAAAAAAAAUGAUAAUAUUAGUAGAUAAAAAGUAAGGAAAAAAAAAUAAAUUUUUCAAUGAGAUUUAUUUUUAAAAAAAUUAACAAAAGAACUCGGCAAAAAAAAUUUCCGAAUGUUUAACAAAAACAUUUCCUCCUAGUUUAGGAGGUAAGGCCUGCUCACUGAGAAUUUAAAGAGCCGCAGUAUCCUAACUGUGCUAAGGUAGCAUAAUCAUUAGUCUUUUAAUUGGGGACUGGUAUGAAUGGCUAAACGAGAGAUUGACUUUUUUUGUUAUUAAAAUCGAAUUUAAUUUUUUAGUGAAAAAGCUAAAAUUUUUCAGAAAGACGAGAAGACCCUAUAGAGUUUUAUAUCAAAAAAAAUUUUUUCUUAAUAGACUUCAAAAGAGUAAAUUUUUUUAGAUAUUUUGUUGGGGCGACAUUAAGAUACAAGAAACUCUUUAUUUUUUUAAUUUUAAUUAAAAGAAAGUUUGAUCCUUUAAAAAAGACCAAAAGAAAAAAUUACCUUAGGGAUAACAGCGUAAUCUUUUUUGAGAGUUCUAAUCGACAAAAAGGUUUGCGACCUCGAUGUUGGACUAAAAUUUAGGCAGGGUGCAGCAGUUCUGCUUUAAGGUCUGUUCGACCUAUAAUAUUUUACAUGAUCUGAGUUCAGACCGGCGUAAGCCAGGUUGGUUUCUAUCUUCUGAUUAUAAAAUUUUAACUUAGUACGAAAGGAUUGGUUAAUUAUAAUUUUUAUAAAUUUAUGAGGAUAAUUAAAAUUUUUUAU